rnacentral:lncRNA from 1 species
UCAGAAUUAAGCAGUAUUUAUAUUUAGUGUAGUUAUAAAUUUAGAAACACGUCAGAGGGAAUUCCCAGUUUUGAUAAAAUGCGAGAGUUCUCUGAAUACCGAUAAAUCUAUUUCUGUCAUAUAAGAACUGAAGUGGAGUUUUUCUUAUAUGUUACCGUUAUGAAACUGAUAUUUGAGAUUGUACUUCCAUAAAGAAAUUGAGAACCAUCUAGGUCGUUUAAUAAGCAUUUGGAAUAUAUCUUGCCACAGGG